GGAGUUAGAGCUCAGUGGAAGAGCAUUUGCUUUGUGUACAGGAGGCCCUGGGUUUGAGCCCCAGUACUUUG
rfam:Ictidomys tridecemlineatus contig004420, whole genome shotgun sequence.